UACGUAGGGCGCAAGCGUUGUCCGGAAUUAUUGGGCGUAAAGAGCUCGUAGGCGGCCUGUUGCGUCCGCUGUGAAAUCCCGGGGCUCAACCCCGGGCGUGCAGUGGAUACGGGCUGGCUGGAGGCAGGCAGGGGAGAACGGAAUUCCUGGUGUAGCGGUGAAAUGCGCAGAUAUCAGGAGGAACACCGGUGGCGAAGGCGGGUCUCUGGGCCGAUACUGACGCUGAGGAGCGAAAGCGUGGGGAGCGAACGGG
rnacentral:rRNA from 1 species